rnacentral:rRNA from 1 species
GUGAGAGAAAUUUAGUGAAGGAACUUGACAGGUAUAAAAUUUAUUAUAUUUUUGUUAUAUUGAUCGAUUUU